UACGGGGGGGGCAAGCGUUGUUCGGAAUUACUGGGCGUAAAGGGCUCGUAGGCGGUCUGUCACGUCGGGAGUGAAAACUCAGGGCUUAACCCUGAGCCUGCUUCCGAUACGGGCAGACUAGAGGUAUGCAGGGGAGAACGGAAUUCCUGGUGUAGCGGUGAAAUGCGCAGAUAUCAGGAGGAACACCGGUGGCGAAGGCGGGUCUCUGGGCCGAUACUGACGCUGAGGAGCGAAAGCGUGGGGAGCAAACAGG
rnacentral:rRNA from 1 species